CAUGGGCCGUGUGUGUUUGCAAAAGGACGUGUGUGGCAGUGACAGCAGCGGGAGCCCCGGGGGAGGCCCCCCGGGGACACGUGUCCACCACCUGGGCUCCCGUGCCCGCUGAGCUCUGGGAGGCAGUGGCUGCUAAAAUACAGAUUCCUAGGCCCCAGACCAUCAUCCUGAAGCCAAAUUGCCAGAGUCAGGCCCAGGACUCUAGAGUUUCUUUGAGGGUCUCCCAGACACUUCUGGUGAGCAGCCAGGCUUGGAAACUCCUGUGCAGCCCACCCAGCCCCAGGAGAAAAAGGAGAGAGAUUUGGAUACAG
rnacentral:lncRNA from 1 species